GCAGACACAUUCCAGCCAAUCAGCAGCAGACCCUCCCUCCCAGACCCUCCCACCUCCUGGACAGCAUCCAUUUUACAUUCAUUGUGAAGCUGCAUUAUUAGUGAGCUGUCCAGGAGGUGGGAGGGUCUGGGAGGGAGGGUCUGCUGCUGAUUGGCUGGAAUGUGUCUG